GUUUAGCUGACGAGUCCAAACUAGGACGAAACUCGCAUCCUGGAU
rnacentral:hammerhead_ribozyme from 1 species